GGUGUGACGAGACACACUGCUCACGAGAUGAGACACGAGAUUGGGUUCACGAGAACGAGACGAGGCGAGAUUUUAACACCAUUUUAGAAGAAGAAAACUUAAAUUAAGAAAUAUGACUAGAAAAAUAUUCUUUACUCAGAGAACCAAGGUUAGCCAAGCGAGAGAACAUUUCUCUUUGUUCAAUAUCAUUAAUACAGUGAUACAUGGAGAGGAGGUGGAACAGGUCCCAAGCUUCAGAUACCUAGGUGUGCAUCUAGCAGAGGAUCUGACCUGGGGAGUAAACACUAAGGA